CCCUUAGAUGUUCUGGGCCGCACACGCGCUACACUGAAGGAGGCAGCGUGUACUCCUGGAUCGAAAGAUUUGGGUAACCCGCGAAUCUCCUUCGUGCUAGGGAUUGAGGUUUGCAAUUAUCCUUCAUGAACGAGGAAUUCCCAGUAAGUGCAAGUCAUAAGCUUGCGCUGACUACGUCCCUGCCCUUUGUACACACCGCCCGUCGCUACUACCGGUUGAAUGAUUUAGUGAGGACUUCGGACUGGGACCGAUGCGGCUUUCGGGCUGCGUCGGUAUUCUGGAAAGAUGUCCAAACUGUAUCAUUUAGAGGAAGUAAAAGUCGUAACA
rnacentral:rRNA from 1 species